AUUUUCAAAUAUUUGUCUUGAAUGUCAAGUUUAACUCUUUGGUGCUGUGCUAAAGACAAGACUGUAGCAAUUAAAAAAGUGUUCAGAUAACCACCUACAAGAAGACAAAAGGCUCAGCCUUGAAUUGAAAAGAUUAAAGGACUAUGCACAUUUCAUCUGAAAAGAAUGGUUAUUUAAUGAUGAUUUUGAUAUACCAUGCAUGGUUGCUGCACAGAAAUUGGCCAAUCCCAUCCAGAAUACAGUAUGUUUGGUCUCCUGCCUCCUUAGGAGUUCUUGGCUGCUACAUUCUGUCCUGAUAUCCACCAAACUCCUAAACAACUUUAAAAAUAUCUGCACUCGUGAAGGUAU